GUUUUGCAUAUUUACAAGUUUGGAUCGUCUGUGUGUCCGUCCACAUCCGCUGGUGCAGCGAUUUUUAAUAUUGCAGCCUUUUGCCUAUUUACAAGUCCGGAUAGUCUGUGUGUCCGUCCAUAUUCGCUGGUGCAGCGAUUUUUACAUACUUCCAGGAUUCUAAUCUGAUCGCAGGUACAACUUUUUCCUUACCGCAAGCUCAACAUCAUCGUAGCGCAGCCCACUUUUAGCGCAAGG